UCUUAGACAAUGGGGGCAACCCUGAUCUAGCCAUGCCGCGUGUGUGAUGAAGGCCCUAGGGUCGUAAGCACUUUCGCCAGAGAUGAUAAUGACAGUAUCUGGUAAAGAAACCCCGGCUAACUCCGUGCCAGCAGCCGCGGUAAUACGGAGGGGGUUAGCGUUGUUCGGAAUUACUGGGCGUAAAGCGCACGUAGGCGGAUUAGUAAGUUAGAGGUGAAAUCCCAGGGCUCAACCCUGGAACUGCCUUUAAUACUGCUAGUCUUGAGUUCGAGAGAGGUAAGUGGAAUUCCGAGUGUAGAGGUGAAAUUCGUAGAUAUUCGGAGGAACACCAGUGGCGAAGGCGGCUUACUGGCUCGAYACUGACGCUGAGGUGCGAAAGUGUGGGGAGCAAACAGGAUUAGAUACCCUGGUAGUCCACACCGUAAACGAUGAAUGCCAGACGUCAGCAAGUAUACUUGUUGGUGUCACACCUAACGGAUUAAGCAUUCGCCUGGGGAGUACGGUCGCAAGAUUAAAACUCA
rnacentral:rRNA from 1 species